UUCACUUCACUGAAUCAAAGAUGUCCAACAACCUGCUUUACCUUCUGUUUUUACUGGCCUUUGCAAGAGUGAAAGGUCAGAAUUUGGAGUCCAUUUCUUCUGUAGCAGAGGUAAAGCCUGGAGAAACUCUGAGUCUUUCCUGUAGAGGAUCAGGAUUUACUUUCGGAAGCUACCACAUGCAGUGGGUCAGACAGCAACCUGGAAAAGCACUGGUAUGGAUGGGCCGUGUUUGGAAUAAUGGACAAGGACAAGACUAUGCUAAAAGUUUUGAGGGACGAAUAGAAAUUACUAGAGACAAUUCAAAAAACAUAGUGUAUCUGAAACUGUCUGGACUCACAGAAGAGGACUCAGCUGUGUAUUACUGUGCAAGGCAAGCACAAACCUGUGUCUACAGUAUUGAACUCACUCAGCCAGAUUCUAAAGAACUAAAGCCUGGCCAACCUUUGAGUCUCUCCUGUAAAGUCUCAGGCUAUUCACUGUCUAGCUGUAGCUACUGCACAAACUGGAUACGACAAGCUUCUGGAGGACUGGAGCGGAUUAGAAGAGUUUGCUGCAAUGGAGACACAUACUAA